UCUUCCUACGGGACGCAGCAGUAGGGAAUCUUCCACAAUGGACGAAAGUCUGAUGGAGUAACGCCGCGUGAGUGAAGAAGGGUUUCGGCUCGUAAAGGUCUGUUGGUAGGGAAGAAAGAUAGAGGUAGUAACUGGCCUUUAUUUGACGGUAAUUACUUAGAAAGUCACGGCUAACUACGUGCCAGCAGCCGCGGUAAUACGUAGGUGGCAAGCGUUGUCCGGAUUUAUUGGGGGUAAAACG
rnacentral:rRNA from 1 species